GCUCAAGUAAAAUUUCAUCAUCAUCGAAUCACGGCGAAUAGGCGCGAUUCGUCGUGCACAAAUGUCUCGACCAAUUUCAUAGGCCUUCUGUGUUUACGCAUCCUCGUUAUACAUUCCAUUAGUUCUGCACAAUCGACACAGAACGAUUGCGCUUUAACGAGACGUGUCUCGCUGCCACACGACCAGCCAACAGCGGGACCGGCCCGGUGAGCCACGAUGACGACGGCGACGACAACGACGACGACAACGACAACGACGGCGGCGAUGGCGACGACAACGACAAUGGCGGUGAUGCGAAGCACGGAACACGGCUACGGUGUCAGUGUAGCAAGAUCCAGCGAUGCGCAAAGUGAUAAUCAACACAAGUGCUGCUAAUUAUGUCACACACGACGACGAGGACCUUCGAAAUAGAAGAUGAAGAAUAGCAUAAAAGAUCGACCGAUGACGAACAGUUUGCCCG